rnacentral:rRNA from 1 species
AAUAGAUACCCGGGUAGUCCUAGCCGUAAACGAUGAACACUAGGCGUAGUCGGUAUCGACCCCGGCUGUGCCGUAGCUAACGCAUUAAGUGUUCCGCCUGGGGAGUACGGCCGCAAGGCUAAAACUCAAAGGGAAUUGACGGGGGCCCGCACAAGCAGCGGAGCGUGUGGUUUAAUUCGUCGCAACGCGAAGAACCUUACCAGGGCUUGACAUGUGGCGGAAAACGGCGGAAACGUCGUCCUCCCGCAAGGGACCGUCAUGCAGGUGUUGCAUGGCUGUCGUCAGCUCGUGUCGUGAGAUGUUGGGUUAAGUCCCGCAACGAGCGCAACCCCCGUGGCAUGUUGUAUCUCUCAUGCCAGACUGCCGAGAGAAACUCGGAGGAAGGUGGGGAUGACGCCAAGUCAGCAUGGCCCUUACGUCCUGGGCUACACACACGCUACAAUGGCCGGCACAACGGGUUGCCAAACCGCGAGGUGGAGCUAAUCCCUUAAAGCCGGUCUCAGUUCGGAUUGCAGGCUGCACUCGCCUGCA